ACCCUGGUAGUCUAUGCUGUAAACGAUGUGAGCUAGGCGUUGGUCUGUUGAUCAGUGCUGAACCAAACGGGAUAAGCUCACCGCCUGGGGAGUAUAGCCGCAAGGCCGAAACUCAAAAGGAUAGGCGGGGGAACACACAAGCAGUGGAUUGUCUCGAUUAAUUGGAUAAUAAGCCAAGAAUCUUACCCAGGCUUGACAUCCCUGGAAUCUUUUUGAAAGGAAGGAGUGCUCAGCUUGCUGAGAGCCAGGUGACAGGUGCUGCACGGCUGUCGUCAGCUCGUGCCACAAGGUGUUCGGUUAAUUCCGAUAACGAGCGCAACCCUUGCCCUUAGUUAGAAAUGUCUAAGGGGACUGCCGGGGUAACCCGGAGGAAGGAGAGGACGACGUCAGGUCAUCAUGGCCCUUAUGUCCGGGGCAUCAGAGGCGAUACAAUGGGGUGUACAAACCGAAGCGAAGCCGCGAGGUGGAGCGAAUCGGAGAAAGCACCUCUAAGUACGGAUUGUAGUCUGGAACUGACUACAUGAAGUUGGAAUUGCUAGUAAUGGUGGGUCAGAACACCACCGUGAAUAUGUCCCUGUUCCUUGCACUCACCGCCCGUCACACCAUGGGAGCUGACCUCCUCUGAAGGCUCUUAAUAGGGGCUGAGGAGGAGGUUGGCGACUGGGGUGAAGUCGUAACAAGGUAUCUCUACGAGAACGUGGAGAUG
rnacentral:rRNA from 1 species